rnacentral:rRNA from 1 species
UUAGGAAUCUUCCACAAUGGGCGAAAGCCUGAUGGAGCGACGCCGCGUGAGGGAUGAAGGCCUUAGGGUUGUAAACCUCUAAAAGAGGGACGAUAAUGACGGUACCUCUUGAAUAGCACCGGCUAACUCCGUGCCAGCAGCCGCGGUAAUACGGAGGGUGCAAGCGUUAUCCGGAAUCACUGGGCGUAAAGGGCGCGUAGGCGGUCUGUUAAGUCCGAUGUUAAAUCCCGGGGCUCAACCCCGGAUAAGCGUUGGAUACUGGCAGGCUAGACGGUUGGAGAGGCGAGUGGAAUUACCAGUGUAGCGGUGGAAUGCGUAGAUACUGGUAGGAACACCCAUUGCGAAGGCAGCUCGCUGGACAGCACGUGACGCUGAGGCGCGAAAGUGUGGGGAGCAAACC